rnacentral:rRNA from 1 species
AUUGAACGCUGGCGGAAUGCUUUACACAUGCAAGUCGAACGAUGAACCUUAGCUUGCUAAGGGGAUUAGUGGCGAACGGGUGAGUAAUAUAUCGGAACGUGCCUUGUAAUGGGGGAUAACUAGUCGAAAGAUUAGCUAAUACCGCAUACGCCCUGAGGGGGAAAGUAGGGGAUCUUCGGACCUUACGUUAUAAGAGCGGCCGAUAUCUGAUUAGCUAGUUGGUGGGGUAAUGGCCUACCAAGGCGACGAUCAGUAGCUGGUCUGAGAGGACGACCAGCCACACUGGAACUGAGACACGGUCCAGACUCCUACGGGAGGCAGCAGUGGGGAAUGUUGGACAAUGGGCGCAAGCCUGAUCCAGCCAUUCCGCGUGAGUGAAGAAGGCCUUCGGGUUGUAAAGCUCUUUCGCAAGGGAAGAAAACGUACCAUCGAAUAAAUGGUGAGGCUGACGGUACCUUGAUAAGAAGCACCGGCUAACUACGUG